AAGUCGUAACAAGGUUUCCGUAGGUGAACCUGCGGAAGGAUCAUUAGCGAAGUUCGGAAUGCAUGUUUGAUGUUGAUGCUGCCCAGCAAUGGGAUGUGCUCGCUCGGAUGUGUGUCCCUUCUCUAUCCACCCCAUUGUGAACCAAGUGUGUGAGCCGAAGAGAAAUCGGACGCUCGCAUGCAAACCUUUAACAUACCCCAAUGAAGUAUCAGAAUGUACCUUGCGUUAACUCGCACAAAUAUAACUUUCAACAACGGAUCUCUUGGCUCUC
rnacentral:misc_RNA from 1 species